ensembl:processed_transcript uncharacterized LOC110284069
UUUUUCCCUUCGCUGCUUUCCACCGGUCUCGGCAGGGUCUGAGGACUCCGGAGAGCAAGGCAUGAGUCCGCCUCGUGCCGCAGGUAUCCUGGGGUCCUGUGGGGAGGGCUCUGCGGUGCGGGGCCGGGUAUGAUGACCCACAUUUACAGACUAGAGUUUCUGAUGUCCACGUGACGCCACCCCUUGUAACUGACCCAGCCCGGGGUGCGGGCUGCAGGCCGGGGUCUCUCGCACCUGUGCUCACAAAAUGAUCUCUUCCAGGUUCCUGGCCCACGCCAGCUGGACCCAGUAGCACCAUGGUAAGCGCAUGCUGGCGAGUGGUGUGCGGUGUGAGGAGGGGCUGACUUCGGGGAGAGGACAGUAAUGAUGAUUUCUGGUGAUUCUGAGUGUCUCGCUGACGCCAUCACCGCAGCGCGCUGACCGUCCCCGGGUCUAAAAUCAGCAGUGGCAUGGGUUUUGAGUUUCGUGGCCUGGAGUUCUUAGUAAUGUACCACUGUGUCUUGCUUUCUGAUAGGGAUUUGAGGACACACGCCGGCUGCCUACCCUUGAAGAAAGGGUGAGCUCUGAGGACUUCACGGGGGCCCCAUCUCCUUACCUAGAUGAGGGCUAACCUUGGAAUCCAGACAAAGGUGGAAGUGACCUAGAUGUGACCUGGAUGACCUGAUCAUCUAAGGAGAGCCUGCCCUUUGUCCUGCCCUUGUGAAGGGCUUUGCUGCUGUGCACUGACAAGUUGGGACGGCUUUUUAUUGCUUUGUUGCCAGUUAUCUGAACAUGAGAGGCUAUAAGGUGUAAUCUAUGCGAGCUGACUGCCCUACGCCCAGACUGAACCAGGGCCUCACUUGACUGAGUAUUAGACAAUGUAAUAAAAACUUACCUUGCCCAGACUAUAUAAUGGCUUGGAAAUGCACAGUUUCCCGAAAGAUCUCAAUAAAAUACUUUUAAAAGG